AGUGAACGCUGGCGGUAGGCCUAACACAUGCAAGUCGAACGGCAGCACAGUAAGAGCAUGCUCUUACGGGUGGCGAGUGGCGGACGGGUGAGGAAUACAUCGGAAUCUACUUUUUCGUGGGGGAUAACGUAGGGAAACUUACGCUAAUACCGCAUACGACCUACGGGUGAAAGUAGGGGAUCUUCGGACCUUGCGCGAUUGAAUGAGCCGAUGUCGGAUUAGCUAGUUGGCGGGGUAAAGGCCCACCAAGGCGACGAUCCGUAGCUGGUCUGAGAGGAUGAUCAGCCACACUGGAACUGAGACACGGUCCAGACUCCUACGGGAGGCAGCAGUGGGGAAUAUUGGACAAUGGGCGCAAGCCUGAUCCAGCCAUACCGCGUGGGUGAAGAAGGCCUUCGGGUUGUAAAGCCCUUUUGUUGGGAGAGAAAAGCAGCAGGUUAAUACCCCGCUGUUCUGACGGUACCCAAAGAAUAAGCACCGGCUAACUUCGUG
rnacentral:rRNA from 1 species